AUAGCUUGCAGAAGUCACAGUUAAAGCACCAACUUAGAGGCAAUACUCUGUGAGAAUGGGGCACCAGCCUUCAGGAUGCAGCAUACACACUGAAUCAAAUAUCUUUUACAUGGACCUGUCUCCCCAGUAGGAAGAAUAUAUUGAUCUGUGAACCAAGGUAUAGACUAGGGGUGUCCCCACUUACCAUCACUCCCAGUGAAUAACUGGGGGGCUUUGUGCUUCCUGUUCCUGCAACUCUAGUUUCUGCAGUGCUAGAGAUCCUAGUCCCUAAAGAGACACACAUUUGUCAUGAGUCACAAGGUAUGCCUGCUGCCUGGGCACUUUGGGCUUCUUUUAACCAGGGACUAGUCAAAAAGAAGAGUCAUCAUCUUGCAGGAAUAAUCGAUCCUGAUCAGAAGGAGGAAGAAAGGCUGCAAUUACACUGUGAGGGCAGGAAAGAAGCUGUGUGCCACCUGUGAUCCAUCUGGACAACUUGUGAUGCUCCCUUGCCCAACUGUGAUGAUAAAUGGACAAGUGCAGCAACCUUUUUGAGAAGGGCAUGGUGACCAGAGUUCAGACCCCCACAGGGAUGAGAAGCAAGGUCACACCACUAGUUUCUCCCAGGAAGAGAGGCCCACUGGAAUGCUAAAGGAGCUGCUUCCCAAAUGCAGAUGGAUUUGAGCAGGAUAGUGAUGGAGCAAGUAGAGGGAACAGGAAGAUCCCCUUCAAGGAAAGACUUAUCCCAGCUGUUGGGAAUGGUGUGAGCAGACAACCUACAACCAUCAGAUCCUUCAGGGUUUGUCUGCAGAGGGCUGCUUUGAACAAGGUCAUGCCCUUCCUGGGACAGCUCAUUCCAGUGACUGAUCACCACAUGGGAAUAAAAGCCCAACCACUUUGGCCAAAUGUUGGACAAUUCUGAAAGGUUAUGUAAGCACCAGAUUUCCUCAUGGGAUUGGCCAAGGCUUUUUCUGACCUGCAGUGCAGUUUAACUUCUCCUUCCGCCCAAUUCUACUUUCUUCCCAUUCCUUCCAGAGGUGUUACAUAAAUAUCCUGCUCGCCCAACUCUCACUGUCUAUUUCCAGACGCAUAACUGCAGCCCCCAUCUUGGUAACUGGUAAUAAGGUUGUAGUUGAUAGCUUAAUUUCCUUUUUUCAUUGGCUUUCAAUGUCUCCUUUGUCUUCAGCCAACACCUCAGCUGGUUGAGGUUAUUUACCUAGUGGGGCGUCCCAAACAUUUAUUUCUAAAAUUUGAUGGUGUAGUCUCUUUGGUUACUAAAGUUUUCCAUGAACUUUUUCUAUUGGACGUAGAAUUAUUAAGAGAGAAUCUCCUAG
rnacentral:lncRNA from 1 species